AGCAGCCGCGGUAAUUCCAGCUCCAAUAGCGUAUAUUAAAGUUGUUGCAGUUAAAAAGCUCGUAGUUGAAUUUCGGGAUUGACGUGAUGGUCAUGCCUUAAGGGGUAUGAACUGUUACUGUUGAUUUCUCACCUUCUGG
rnacentral:rRNA from 1 species